rnacentral:rRNA from 1 species
AUGGUAGGAUAGAGGCCUACCAUGGUGGUAACGGGUAACGGGGUGUUAGGGCACGACACCGGAGAGGGAGCCUGAGAAACGGCUACCACAUCCAAGGAUGGCAGCAGGCGCGCAAAUUACCCAAUCCCGACACGGGGAGGUAGUGACAAUAAAUAACAAUACGGGGUUCUUUAGGAUCUCGUAAUUUGAAUGAGUACAAUUUAAAUCUCUUAACGAGGAACAAUUGGAGGGCAAGUCUGGUGCCAGCAGCCGCGGUAAUUCCAGCUCCAAUAGCGUAUAUUAAAGUUGUUGCAGUUAAAAAGCUCGUAGUUGAAUUUCGGGGUCAGUAGGUCGGUCGUGCCACUGGUAUGAACUGGUUUUACUGAUUCCUCCCUCUUGAAGAACUGUAAUGCCAUUAAUUUGGUGUUGCAGGGAGUCAGGACUGUUACUUUGAAAAAAUUAGAGUGUUUAAAGCAGGCUUUAGCUUGAAUACAUUAGCAUGGAAUAAUGAAAUAGGACGUUUGAUCCUAUUUUGUUGGUUUCUAGGAUUGACGUAAUGAUUAAUAGGGAUAGUUGGGGGCAUUAGUAUUCAAUUGUCAGAGGUGAAAUUCUUGGAUUUAUUGAAGACUAACUACUGCGAAAGCAUUUGCCAAGGAUGUUUUCAUUAAUCAAGAACGAAAGUUAGGGGAUCGAAGACGAUCAGAUACCGUCGUAGUCUUAACCAUAAACUAUGCCGACUAGGGAUCGGAUGAUGUUAAUUUUUUAAUGACUCAUUCGGCGCCUUACGGGAAACCAAAGUGUUUGGG